GACGUAGGGUGCGAGCGUUGUCCGGAUUUAUUGGGCGUAAAGAGCUCGUAGGCGGCUCGUCGCGUCGACCGUGAAAACCCGCAGCUUAACUGCGGGCUUGCGGUUGAUACGGGCGGGCUAGAGUUCGGUAGGGGAGACUGGAAUUCCUGGUGUAGCGGUGAAAUGCGCAGAUAUCUGGAGGAACACCGGUGGCGAAGGCGGCAUCCUGGACCGGUAUUGACGCUGAGGCGCGAAAGCCAGGGGAGCAAACGGG
rnacentral:rRNA from 1 species